rnacentral:rRNA from 1 species
CACGUAGGGGGCGAGCGUUGUCCGGAUUUAUUGGGCGUAAAGAGCUCGUAGGCGGCUCGGUAAGUCGGGUGUGAAAACUCUAGGCUCAACCUAGAGACGCCACCCGAUACUGCUGUGGCUAGAGUCCGGUAGGGGAGCAUGGAAUUCCUGGUGUAGCGGUGAAAUGCGUAGAUAUCAGGAGGAACACCGGUGGUGUAGACGGCUUUCUGGACCGACACUGACGCUGAGACACGAAAGCGUGGGUAGCAAACAGG